AUUCCCCCCUUUUCCCGCUUUUAUUUACCUUUUCAUGUUUCUCUUGAUUUUUGUGUUUGGAUAUCAAACUUUCCACUUAGUUCUGGUCUUUUCUUUACAAAUACUUGGAAAUCUUCUAUUUGUUGAAUGCCCAUACUUUCUCCUGGAACUAUAUAGUCAGUCUUGAUGAAUAGGUGAUCCUUGGUUGAAGACCCAAUUCUCUUGCCUUUCUGAAUAUCGUAUUCCAAGCCUUGCAGUCCUUUAGUGUGGAAGCUUCCAGAUCUUGUGUAAUCCUGAUUGGUGCUCCUUGAUAUCUGAAUUGUCUCUUUUUGGCUUCUUAUAAAAUUUUCUCCUUAGCUUGGAAGCUCUUGAAUUUGGCAAUUACAUUGCUGGGAGUUGUCUUUUGAGGAUUUAGUGUAGAGGGUGUUCUAUGAACUCUUUCAAUGUCUAGUUUACCCCCUUGUUCAAGAACAUCAGGGCAGUUUUCUUAGAAUAUUUCUUAUCCUUUGAUGUCAAGAUUUCUGUUUAUUUCUGGGUUUUCAGGUAGACCAAUGAUUCUCAAAUUGUCUCUUCAUGCUCUGUUUUCCUGAUCCAUCAUCUUUUCAAUGAGAUAUUUUAUGUUUUCUUCUAUUUUGUCAGUCUUGUGACUUUGCUUUAUUAAUUCUUGCUGUUUUGCAAGAUUGUUGGCUUUCAAUUGCCUAAUUUUGGUCUUGAAGGACGGGUUUUCCUUUUCAGUUUGGUCUAUCCUGCUUUUUGUGGCUUCCAGCUCUUUCUCCUAUUGGGAGUUCUUGUCCUUUAAACUGUUAUUUUCUUUCUGAACUAUUUCCCACUUUUCUUGCCAGAAGGCUUCCAUCUUUUUGAUAAGCUCCAAUGUAAAUUCUUCAAGAGCUUAUAGACAAUUUCCAUUUUUUGGAAGUUUUUGGUGCAUUUAUUUGUAUUUCCUCUUCUAUUUCCUCUGUAGCCUGGGUUUUUCCUCCAUAAAAAUUAUUCAGGGUCAACCCCAUCUUCUUGUUUUUCUUGGUGUUGGGAAGUUGUUGCUCCUGGCCACUGUUUGCCAUUACUGUUGUGGUCUUUCCUUCCAUUUCCAGUUAGAAAUCUGAGUGAUAUGGGAAGGCUCUCUGUGUAUGGAGCUAAGGAGCAAAGUUUUUGCCUGAGGCCACCUCAUGAAUUUCUGCAGAUUCUGUUGUUUGCUGCCCUUCUCUGUACUAUCUCCCAUGGGCACCCAAGGUCUACUCUCUUCAGCCUGCUGGGGUUUCAAGUCUAACUGCUCUCAGUGGUAGGUUUUUGGUGGUCUUAGUCAGCUUCCAAGGACCUAGAGGUGCCCCUCAGUCACUCUAGAGGUGCCCUCAUUCACUCACUGAUUCUAGUGUGCACUGACUCUGGCUCUGUAGUUGGGGUGGGGAAGAGUUGAUCAACUCGCAUUUUGGUGGAAGCUUUUCCACCCUCUUAUAGUGUGGGAAUGCCCAAAUCCCACAUACCUUCAAUGCUACACCCUACUGUAGAGUCCCUUCGUUCAUAUGAAUUUGGGUUUUUUUGGCUUUUUGAGGUAGUCUGUAUCGGUAGGUGGUGAGGAGAGGAAGAGUCUAGCAUCUAGACUGCCACCAUAUUUACCCAGAUGUGCCCUUCCUAUAUAAAUUCUGAAUUGUGACCAUAUCCUCCAGUUUGAUUAGACACCCCUAAAUCUUAGUUUUGUUAGAAUUUGUAGUAACUGCACACUGUUUUUUUUUUCCAGAUGGAGCAUCUUCCCUAACAAUGUUUUCUAGUUUUUGUCUUACAUUAGCUAUUUUCCUUUUAGCCUAGCCUUGUAUUUAUCCUCUUUAUCUUUCAUAAGAAUCCAGUAUUAGGAGACUGCCCACUUAACUAUUCUUGCCAGUCAUUGUUAGUGAUCUAACUUUUUAUUAUCAGCCUGUUAUUUGUCAUGAAAUAGUGUGAGUAUUGAAAAACCCUAGCUUUGGAGUCAGUUCAAAUUCCAAUUCUUGCUAUGUGACAUUGGGCAAGUUAAUUAACUUUCCUAGGUCUCUCUUCUUCAUCUGUAAAAUGAGGAUGCUUAGACUAGCCAGCCUCAGAGGGCCCUUCCACCUCAAUCUUAUUAUUCUGUGAUGAACUAAACUAUUUAUUUGUAAUGUGGGUCAUAAUAUCAACUAAUAUUUAUUAUGUAAUUGUGUAAUUGGAAUCUGAACCCAAGAACUACAAUUCCCAGCACCCUACUAUUCUCACAUUACAUGCUGAUAUAGGCAGGAUAUAAGUUUUGUGUAGCCCUGCCUCUUGCUUGCUUUUCUUGUGAUCACAGGCAGCUGUGGAUGUGGACUUUUUGAGAGCCAGGAGAACUUACUCAUGUGGGUUUACUUUUAUUAGAUAAUUAGACUUUUAUACUUCUAUUUCUUUUUUAUACCUUCUACUUCAAGUAAUGAUUAAUACACUUUAUAAAAUUAAUACUUGGUGUGUUAGACGUUAAUUUAAAUCUUACAUUUGUGGGCUACUUGAAAGUUUCCAAAGUGCUUUCUAUACUUAUUUGUAUUUUACAAUAACUAUUUGGAAUAGGUGUUUCAGAUGCUAUCAUUACCCUUUAGAAAUUGAGGCUCCUCAGAUAUAAAGUGACUUGCCUAUCAUCAGAGGGGUAGUAAAUUUGAGGGAUAAAAUUUGAGUCAGGUCAGUGAAUUCAAAUCAAAGUCUAUACCCCCAUAAUAUAACAAUGUAUCUCCCUGAAGUAAACACAUAGAUUUCACCACAAAAAUGCAUUUGAAAAAAUAUAGGCCAGAUAGAUAGACUGAAUUGAGGUGGUAGGUUUCUGCUGCUAACAGGGUUGGACUUUAAAAUUAUAUAAUCAUUGAGUUUUAGAUGUGAAAGUGAACAAAGAAAUAAUUUAGUCCAAUUCCCCACCUAUAUGAACAAAUUUAGGACUAUAGUGGGGGGAGCUUGCCCAAGAGCAUACAAUGAAUUGUUCUCCUCCCCUAGAAUAUUUAUGUUUGCAUGUCUUUAAACUUUUAUCCAACAUUUCCAUAAUUAGUAAAAAUUCAUUGAUCCAAUAAAUAAGUGACUACAUUAUUUAUAUCAUAGACACCUUUUAAAAAAACUUUGGUAAUAGUAUGAAACUCUUGCUAACAUUAGAAGCUUUCCUGGUACAAACAGGGAUAAAACAAGUAAGUCCACUCUUAUAUUGUUUGACAUAAUUUUGGAAAUGUUAGCCAUAGCAAAACAAAUUUUUAAAACUCUUAGAGAAAUUAAUGCUAUAAAUUUUGGCAAAAAGGUAAGAUUGGGUCUAUUUGCAGAUAACAUAAUAUAUUUAGAAAACUACUGAGAAUUGGUGAAGAAACCAAUUAUGGUAAUAGCUUAAGCAAGGUAGCAAGAUGCAAAAUAAAACCACAAAAUCAUCAGCAUUUCUUUAUAGCACCAACAAAAAACAAGGAAGAAAUAGUAACAAGAUAUUACGUUCAAAAGAACUACAAAAAACAUAAACUAGAUAUCUGACAAUUCAUUUACAAAACGUGAUUGUUCCUUGUAAACAGAAUGUAAUUAUAUUAACUAUUUUGAUGUAUAGAUUUAAUGCAAUACUAAUUAAGUUAUUGCAGAAAUACAGUUUUAGAACUAGAUAAAAAUAAAUUUAUAUGGUAGAGUAAAAGAUCUAGAAUCUCAAAUGAAUGAGAGAAGUUCAAAUGAAGGGGCCAUAAUAUUAUCAGAUCUCAGACUAUGACAUAAAGCAAAAAUCAUCAAAUAUUUGUUUCUGCUUUAAAGAAAAGAAAAAAUGAUCAUUGAAAUAGACUAGAUUAACAAUAAAGAGAAGCAGUUAAAAAAACAGCAGCCUUUCACUUGAUGAAAGCAUUUGUUUUACAAUUGUUUUGACUAUAUUAUGUACGUGAUAUUUCCUUCAUUAAAAUAAUAUCUCCAAAUGGGACAGAGUUAGGAUUACUUUGCUUAAAUCUCUAUGUGCUCAGUGCCUACUAUUGUGCCUGACACAUAGUAAAUGCUUGAUUCAUAUAAAAGAUCACAUCAUUUAAACACCAGAUAAUAUCAGGUAUCUUCAAUAGCUAUGGCUAGGAGAGGAAUUUUUAUUUAAAUACAAGAAAAGAGAGAUCAUUAAAGAUGUUAGAAAAUUUUGUUGUAUAAGUUAAAGCUUUUUCACUAAUAAAAUCAAUGAAGGUAGACUCUGAAGAGUGAGAAAAUAUUUGUACAAAAUGCCACUGCCAAAAGUCAAACAUCCAAAAUAUAUAUAUUUAUGUAUAUGUUCAUAUAUAUGUAUGUCUAUAUACACACAAAGAAUUUAGAUCAAAAGAUAUAUAUACAUUUAUGACCAAGACAUUCCUCAAUAGACAAGUGAUGAUACAUAUGAAGUUUUCAAAAAUAGGAAUUAAAAAGCCGAAAUGAUGACAUAUUCAGAUCACUAAUGGUGAUAGAAAUGCAAAUUUAAAAAGACUGCUUUUUUUUUUACCUCACACCUUACAAAUUGACAAAAAUGACAGAAGAUAGAGUUAAUAUUAUAGGUGAUGUAAGAGGAAGUGAUUACUGAUGCACUGUUGAUACUUGAGUUACUUUCUAUCCACUGCACCACCUACUUACCCUGGCAAUACCAUUAAUGGGCAACAAUAAAGAAAAAUGUAUUAAAUAUCUACUAUGUUCCACUGUGCCAGGGACUGUGGAUAUAAGUAUGGAUAAAACAAAACCUAUUCACAAGGACCUUAUGUUCUAAUGGAGUAGAAAACAAGGAUAUAACUGAAUUUGCAGUAUAAAUAUAAAGUAAAAAAUAUGCUUUUUAAAGAAGUUAAAUAUAAGGUAGUUUAGGAGGGUGAACACUAGUAUUUGGAGGAAUCAGAAAAGGCUUCAGGUAGAGGAUGAUGCCUGAGCUAGAUCUUCUAGGAAGAGAUGGACUGACAGAAGAAAGGAGAAGAUGCAGUUUAAGAUGUGGGACAGCAAGUACAAAAUCAGGAGAUUUUGCUAAAGAAGCAGAGAACUAUUGAAACUCAGUUUGGCUGGAUCACACAGAGCAUGUGUGUGUGAGAGAGCAAUAUUUAAUGAGGAAUGAAAGCUAGAUUGGGAUCAGGUUGAGUAGGGAUUUAAAAGCUAAACAAAGGAGAUUAUAUUUGAUCUUAAUGGAAAUAAGAAGUCACUGCAGUCAAUUGUUUGGCAACAAUGUGUGGGAUGGGCUGGAGUCAUGAGAGAGUUGAGGGUAGAGAGACUAAUUAGGAGACUUAUAAGGAUCUAGGUGAGAGAGGAUGAGAGACUUGAAUUUGUAGCUGAGCGAGUUUAGAGAUAGGCGUGGAGUGUUAAGAUUUUUUGCCCUAUUGUGCUCUUCUGGGAGACCUUUGAUCCUAAGCCUGAGCAUACAACUGGAAUCUUAAAGGAAAGCUAAUGUAAGGACAGCUGUGAACCGAUUUCCUAAUGUACAGUGGCCAAAGGAGCUGUUGUUCCUCCUUAUCUCUACCUUUGAAAUCAAUAUCUUCCUUCAAAAUCUAGUUCAAGUGCCAUCUCUGCUUGGUAUCUUCCCUGAUUCCCUUUCCACAACAACUAUGACCCCCUACCUGAAGGUGGUCUCCCUCUCCUCAAAUAUUCCUGGAAUACUUGGUCUGGAUAGCUCUCCUAUCUCCUGAAUAAAGUAUUAUAUUAAUGUACAUCCACUAGGAGAAUACAAA